rnacentral:rRNA from 1 species
AUUGAACGCUGGCGGCAUGCCUUACACAUGCAAGUCGAACGGUAACAGGUCUUCGGAUGCUGACGAGUGGCGAACGGGUGAGUAAUACAUCGGAACGUGCCUAGUAGUGGGGGAUAACUACUCGAAAGAGUGGCUAAUACCGCAUGAGAUCUACGGAUGAAAGCAGGGGAUCGCAAGACCUUUCGCUACUAGAGCGGCCGAUGGCAGAUUAGGUAGUUGGUGGGAUAAAAGCUUACCAAGCCGACGAUCUGUAGCUGGUCUGAGAGGACGAUCAGCCACACUGGGACUGAGACACGGCCCAGACUCCUACGGGAGGCAGCAGUGGGGAAUUUUGGACAAUGGGCGCAAGCCUGAUCCAGCAAUGCCGCGUGCAGGAUGAAGGCCUUCGGGUUGUAAACUGCUUUUGUACGGAACGAAAGGCCCUGGGUUAAUACCCUGGGGUCAUGACGGUACCGUAAGAAUAAGCACCGGCUAACUACGUGCCAGCCGCCGCAGUAA